rnacentral:rRNA from 1 species
UACGUAGGGGGCAAGCGUUGUCCGGAAUCAUUGGGCGUAAAGCGCGCGUAGGCGGCCCGGUAAGUCCGCUCUGAAAGUCCAGGGCUCAACCCUGGAAAGCGGGUGGAUACUGCCGGGCUAGAAUCCGGAAGAGGCGAGUGGAAUUCCUGGUGUAGCAGUGGAAUGCGCAGAUAUCAGGAGGAACACCAAUAGCGAAGGCAGCUCGCUGGGACGGUAUUGACGCUAAGGCGCGAAAGCGUGGGGAGCAAACAGG